AGAGAUUCCUUUGGGCCUUCAUCCCAAUCUUCAAACUUGGAUCCAAGCGAACCUCAUCUAAUGCGACGUAAAACAUAUUCCUCAACUCACAUGGCCCAUCUUUGAACCCCUCCUAAUCUCAUCCUCUUGCUUUGAAACUUCACGCGGAAACAGAGUCAAACAGAACGAGAUCCGUGAUCUUUGGCCGCAGAUUCCUGCCUCCAUUUUGGACAUCAAACGGAGGUCGUGAAAGCUCUUGAAUCAGGAAUAAGCGUCGUUAUCCACGUCCUUCAAAUCACGUCGAGUUGACGCGAUGUGGUGGUUCUUAGGCGGCUCUUUAUCAUCAAUGCUUGCGUUCUAAUCCCGGAGCGGUGACUCGACCUUCCUAGCAUUAACUAAAUGCGUCAUGUUCCAUAUUGCCGCGGAUUCGAAGAUUCAUAAUUCCAAUCGUCUUGUAAUCGUGUGUGCCAACAAAAAGAAAAGGUUCCGACAAUGAAAUGGAGUACGUACCGAAUUCAACAGGUAUCGAAUGCACUUUCCUCUUCUUGAUCUCAAAUCGCCCUUUCUUUUCCUCGUCGUUGUAACUUCUUCCUCUUUUUUUUGUACUGCUUCUGUUGUUGGAUGCGUGUGAGCGUGUGAUGAGGGUUUGACGAGGUUAUGUCAAGAGGUGGUGGUUUUAGAUCGUAGAGUGAAGGUUUUCUUCUCAUGGCAUAUGAAUUAGGGUGUGUUGGUUGCAAGUGGUUAGAAAAGAAUUAUCGCAGCAGUUAGAGCUGAUUCAGCUCGGGAAGAGGCGUUUGAUCCUCAUGAGGGUGAAGAAUUAGUUAGCAGGUUCAGGGUUGGUUUCUGUCAUUUUUUUUCUUCAUCAUCCUCUCAAAUGAAUUAUAUAGGGAUCCAUCCAAUUGGUCCCAAGUUAUUCCAUUCUGUUAAGGCGGUUCGAGAUUCCGUUACAGGUUAGUUGGGACUGAGAAAGAGAGUCCGGAAUCGGUUGGGGGUUCUGUUGGAAUUCUACCGUUAGGAUUCAGUUAAGUUGUUAGAAUCAGUUGGUUGAUUUUCUGUUAUAUUAUUUGACAGUUGGAUUCUGUUAUGCAUUCAUUCUUGUGGCUUAUAAAGUGGUUAAAAAAAUGGAUCAACUUUAGGAUUGCAACCAUUGUGAAAAUAAGAAUCCCCCACCGGUGACAGAAUUCGACACUGCUUCAUCAAGGUUAGACUUAUUUGGACUUGGUAAGGGAUUUUAAGUGAAUGGUGACAUUUCUUUCAGCUCGCUAAACACACUCCUAGAAGUCAAAGGCGGAAUGUUCACUGAAUGAGUCAAGUUACGAUACAAAAGGCGAAUCCCAGCACAUCAGUUCAUGUCCAAUGAUUUGUUAACUUUGACUCCUACUAGAAUCCAGUACCUUGAUGUUGCUGCAUGGACUACUACUCUUUGUAGCUUUUUUCUCCAGUCCUGUAGAUAAUUCAGACCUUGAUGCUGCUUCAAGAAGCAAAGAAUCCCGCAGACUAACAGUGGAACAAUUUGGAUUCGAUGUUGUAAUUUAUUGAAUGAAUUUAGUGGUUGAAUGUACUUUUAUUGGAAUUGUUUUUAUCGGCCUUUUUCUAUUGCAAUUGGGCUGAAUGGCUUGGUUUAUAUCGGCUGUGCAUGUGGAUAUGCCAUGAUGAUGAAUUGGAGGGGAACUCAUGUGGAUUGUCCAUGAAAGGGGGGUUUCGAUCUAGAUAAGUAAUGUUUUAAUUUUUGUAACUAUCAAUUUGAAAUGUAAUGGGAAUGAUUUUUAAUUUGAAUAUUGGAAACGAAUCUGAAUAUAUGUACGUAAGUGGAAUUUGAUUUA